rnacentral:rRNA from 1 species
UACAGAGGGAGCUAGCGUUGUUCGGAAUUACUGGGCGUAAAGCGCGCGCAGGCGGCCAUUCAAGUCAGGUGUGAAAUCCCGGAGCUUAACUCCGGAACUGCAUUUGAAACUGGGUGGCUAGAGUAUGGUAGGGGAGAGGGGAAUUCCUAGUGUAGCGGUGAAAUGCGUAGAGAUUAGGAGGAACACCAGUGGCGAAGGCGCCUCUCUGGGCCAUUACUGACGCUGAGGCGCGAAAGCGUGGGGAGCAAAC